rnacentral:rRNA from 1 species
UACGGGGGGGGUAAGCGUUGUUCGGAAUUACUGGGCGUAAAGGGCUCGUAGGCGGCCAACUAAGUCAGACGUGAAAUCCCUCAGCUUAACUGGGGAACUGCGUCUGAUACUGGAUGGCUUGGAUUCGGGAGAGGAAUGCGGAAUUCCAGGUGUAGCGGUGAAAUGCGUAGAGAUCAUGAGGAAGACCAGUGGCGAAGGCGGCUAGCUGGCCUGUAACUGACGCUGAGGCGCGAAGGCUAGGGGAGCGAACAGG